AUCCUAACCGUGCGAAGGUAGCGUAAUCACUUGUUCUUUAAAUGAGGACUAGUAUGAAUGGCCCCACGAGGGCUGCACUGUCUCCUUUUUCUAAUCAAUGAAACUAAUCUCCCCGUGAAGAAGCGGGAAUUAUCCUAUAAGACGAGAAGACCCUAUGGAGCUUUAAACAAUUGAAACAUUUGCUUUUCUCCUAACUCCUCCCGAGCCCUUUAUUUUUAUUUAAGCAUUAUUAUUUCUAGUUUUAGGUUGGGGUGACCACGGAGCAAAACUAAACCUCCAUGAAGAAAUGAAUAUUUUUAAGCCACAAACUACUUUUUUAAGCAUCAACAAAUUGACCUUCAUUGACCCAAUAUAUUGAUCAACGAACCAAGUUACCCUAGGGAUAACAGCGCAAUCUACUUCAAGAGCUCAUAUCGACAAGUAGGUUUACGACCUCGAUGUUGGAUCAGGGUAUCCUAGUGGG
rnacentral:rRNA from 1 species